UACGUAGGUCACGAGCGUUAAUCGGAUUUAUUGGGCGUAAAGGGUCCGCAGGGGGUUUAUUAAGUCUGAUGUGAAAGCCGGCGGCUCAACCGCUGAACUGCAUUGGAAACUGAUGAACUGGAGUAUUGGAGAGGAAGGUGGAAUUCCUGGUGUAGCGGUGGAAUGCUUAGAUAUCAGGAGGAACAUCAAUGGCGAAGGCAGCUUACUGGACAAUUACUGACGCUGAGGCACGAAAGCAUGGGUAGCGAAAGGG
rnacentral:rRNA from 1 species